rnacentral:lncRNA from 1 species
GGAAAUAACAGAAUACAAUUACCAAUAAUCAUAACGUUUAAACAACAUCAGAUCCGGGAGAAAUCAGCCAUCAAAGUAGCUUCCAAAGCUGUUCUUCACGAAGAACAGUUUGAGGUGCCUACUUUGGACCUCUAUAACUUGAUGAUCGUGAAUUGUUUACGUGAUCUAUCAAUUCAAGUGUGUAGAAAACAUGUAGGACUACAAUGCUAACACUUAACAUCAUCAUAACAACAAGAAAUCAAGCAGCUAAAGUAUGGUCAAACCUUGUCAGAAAAAUCAACACUUAGAAAAUUCUGGGCUGCCCAGAAUUUUCCGGUCAAUGCCGGUCAACCCACUUUGACCUUAAAUAACUCUUAAUCCAUAAUAUAUAUGGACCUGAUUCUUUUUGGAGGUUAAAUACAACAUAACAAGCUACACAUAAAAACCUUUAGAACACAAAACACAUUAAAGAUAACCGAGAUAUAAGGCCUGACAUUUUCCAAAAUAAUAUUUUCUGGACACUUAGAAUAUUUUCUGGGUUUGAAGAACAGCCGGUCAAUGCCGGUCAACCCACUUUGACCGCUUAUAAAUACCGAUCUACAAUAGCUAUGAACUUUAUUCCUUUUGGAGAUUAAAGACCACAUAUCAGGCUACCUAUAACAACUUUUAAACAACAAAACUCGAGAUCGACCAAAGAGUUAUAGCCUCUGACAUUUGGUGAAAAAUAACAGAAUUCGGUUUUUCCAACUUGCUUAAAUCUUCAAAUUCGUGCACUUUGAUGUUAUGGAUUCAUGAUUU